UACGUAGGGGACGAGCGUUGUCCGGAAUUAUUGGGCGUAAAGAGCGUGUAGGCGGCUUAUCAAGUCCUGCGUGAAAUCUCGGGGCUCAACCCCGAGCGGUCGUGGGAAACUGGUUGGCUAGAGUGCGGGAGAGGAGAGUGGAAUUCCCAGUGUAGCGGUGAAAUGCGCAGAUAGUUGGGAAGAACACCCGUGGCGAAGGCGGCUCCUCUGGAACGCAA
rnacentral:rRNA from 1 species